CGUUCCCUCUGGCGGUAGGCCUAACACAUGCAAGUCGAACGGCAGCACAGUAAGAGCUUGCUCUUACGGGUGGCGAGUGGCGGACGGGUGAGGAAUACACCGGAAUCUACUUUUUCGUGGGGGAUAACGUAGGGAAACUUACGCGAAUACCGCAUACGACCUACGUGUGAAAGCAGGGGAUCUUCUGACCUUGCGCGAUUGAAUGAGCCUAUGUCGGAUUAGCUAGUUGGCGGGUUAAAGGCCCAGCAAGGCGACGAUCCGUAGCUGGUAUGAGAGGAUGAUCAGCCACACUGGAGCUGAGAAACAGUAGAGACUCCUACGGGAGGACGCGGUGGAGAAUAUUGCACAAUGGGCGAAUGGCUGAUCCAGCCAUACCGCGUGGGUGAAGAAGGACUUAGGGUUGUAAAGCCAUUUUGUUGGGAAAGAAAAACAGCAGGUUAAUACCCCGCUGUUAUGACGGUACCCAAAGAAUAAGCACCGGCUAACUUCGUG
rnacentral:rRNA from 1 species